rnacentral:misc_RNA from 1 species
GGAAUAGAAAGGUUUCUACGAAGUUACAACAAAAUGUAGUGUCCACGAGCAGAGAUAUAGACAUUUGAAGAAGUAGUAUAUAGGCAUUGUCUUAGAGAAAAAAAAAUAAAAAAAAAAUAGAAAGGAUUGAGUAUCCCUUUUGAAAUUUUUAUCAUCGUUUCUAGAUAGUAAUAUAAAGGUUUCUACAAAGUUACAACAAAAUGUAGUGUCCACGAGCAGAGAUAUAGACAUUUGAAAAAGUAGUAUAUAGGCAUUGUCUUAGAGAAAAAAAAAUAAAAAAAAUAGAAGGGAUUGAGUAUCCCUUUUGAAAUUUUUAUCAUCGUUUCUAGACAGGAAUAGAAAGGUUUCUACGAAGUUACAACAAAAUGUAGUGUCCACGAGCAGAGAUAUAGACAUUUAAAGAAGUAGUAUAUAGGCAUUGUCUUAGCGAAAAAAAAAAAAAAAAUAGAAGGGAUUGAGUAUCCCUUUUGAAAUUUUUAUCAUCGUUUCUAGACAGUAAUAGAAAGGUUUCUACGAAGUUACAACAAAAUGUAGUGUCCACGAGCAGAGAUAUAGACAUUUGAAAAAGUAGUAUAUAGGCAUUGUCUUAGAAAAAAAAAAAAAAAUAAAAAAAAAUUAGAAGGGAUUGAGUAUCCCUUUUGAAAUUUUUAUCAUCGUUUCUAGACAGUAAUAGAAAGGUUUCUACGAAGUU